AUCUCGAAGACAUUUUGACCUCCAACACUAAAACUUAAGAAUAAAAGAUGUACUAGUAUUUUGAGAUAAAUGACAAAUAUCUUCUUGAAUUAGGUCUUAGCUUGAAGAUGAACAAGUGGGAGAGUAGACAAAACGUGGGAUAGAUUACGAGAAAUUCAGAGGUGAAGGAACAUAGUAAGAGAAAGGUAGGUUCGGCCACAGCAGAUUCCUAGACCGGCUCUCAUGCAGCACGAUGCUUUAUUUUGUAUGCCUAACCAUGUGACUGCAGUCUCUCCAUUUAAUUCAGUUGGCCGCUACUUGUUUCUUUGUUUUUUUUUCCUAACCAUGGUUAGUUUGUAACACUGGUUAGUGGUUACUCACACACUUGUUACUACUUCCAACCUUUUUUUUCUUUUUUUUUUGUUGUCUUCAAAAUGUAAGAAACUUUAAUACUUCUUAAUAUGUUGAUUGGUUUUGUCACU